rnacentral:rRNA from 1 species
UACGGAGGGUGCAAGCGUUAUCCGGAUUCACUGGGUUUAAAGGGUGCGUAGGCGGGCAGGUAAGUCAGUGGUGAAAUCUCCGAGCUUAACUCGGAAACUGCCAUUGAUACUAUUUGUCUUGAAUACUGUGGAGGUGAGCGGAAUAUGUCAUGUAGCGGUGAAAUGCUUAGAUAUGACAUAGAACACCAAUUGCGAAGGCAGCUCACUACACAGUGAUUGACGCUGAGGCACGAAAGCGUGGGGAUCAAAC